rnacentral:lncRNA from 1 species
GAACCUAUGUCUCAAGCAUCUCUUAUGUCUCCUGCAUUGGCAGGUGGGUUUUUUGUUGUUGUUGUUUUUACCACUAGCGCCACCUGGGGAAACUUACUCUAGCCACCUGCAUAUGACUUGGCAAAGUGUGAGCCCCUGGAAUCACCUUGUAGAAAUCUAAAAUCUUCCAAAUUGUUUAGUGACCUUGGGAAUUCAUUAAGAACAUCAGGGUCUCUCAUGAGGUAAAUGUUGAAUGGCUAAGGUUGAAGGAGCAGUAGAUUAAACUUUCUUUAUUUCCUUCUCAUUACAUCACAUAAAUGUCUGUGUUCCUGGCCAAAUACAUUAAGGCAAAAAAUAAAAGGAAACUCGAAAUAAUGAUUGAUAACAUGCCAAGCAACUUCAGAACUUUGUUGACAUUUGCUCUCUUGAAUUGUAUCUUAACGACUAUAUAACAUGUAACUCUAAAGAAAUGUAACCUAAAAAAAAAAAAACCCUCACAACAUACUAGAAUAAGUAAAUAUUUAUUAUUUCCUUUGGAGCAGUCAUUCUGGAAUGCUAGCUCUUAACCCAAUAAUUCUGAAGUUAUUCAAAACUAUUUUUCUACUGUCUCUCUGCAAGCAUCUUCAGUUCCGUGUUUGUUAUUUUGAAUGGCUUACGGUGGGCCUUACAGUCUGGCACAUACAUCUUGUCUAGCAUCCUUGUUUUAUGGAGAAAGUUGAUCUGGAAAUUUCAAGUGAUUUGUCCCAAGUCGCAUAAAGCUGGAACCAGAACCAAGAUCUGUUUUCCAGGAGAGCAUUUUUGCCACAGCAUCCUUCUGCCUUUUUCCUUUGUGGGUGGACUUAAUUUUUUGGAAAAAAAAAAAAAAAAAGAUAUUCACAGCAUGAACUAAGCUGACUGGUUCACUCUCUGAAGAGGUUUUUUUUUUUUUCUUGGUUACAAAUCCAGCUUUUGAACAAAGGUUGCUAUUUUGUACAAAGCACAUUUUAAACCUGAUUUUGUUGUUGUGCAGGAAGCGAUCCAAAGAAAGCUUAGGGUUUUAGGUAAACUGGUCAGUACCAGAUCUUGACGGAGAUGUAUUGCUUCUCUUUCUGUUGUUUUAGAGUGGUUUGGUCAGAC